AUUGAACGCUGGCGGCAUGCCUUACACAUGCAAGUCGAACGGCAGCACGGGAGCAAUCCUGGUGGCGAGUGGCGAACGGGUGAGUAAUAUAUCGGAACGUGCCCGGUCGUGGGGAUAACGUAGCGAAAGCUACGCUAAUACCGCAUACGAUCUACGGAUGAAAGCGGGGGAUCGCAAGACCUCGCGCGAUUGGAGCGGCCGAUAUCAGAUUAGGUAGUUGGUGAGGUAAAGGCUCACCAAGCCGACGAUCUGUAGCUGGUCUGAGAGGACGACCAGCCACACUGGGACUGAGACACGGCCCAGACUCCUACGGGAGGCAGCAGUGGGGAAUUUUGGACAAUGGGCGCAAGCCUGAUCCAGCAAUGCCGCGUGCAGGAUGAAGGCCUUCGGUUGGUAACUAGCUUUGUUACGGUAACGAAA
rnacentral:rRNA from 1 species